rnacentral:misc_RNA from 1 species
CGCACAUUGCGCCUUUUGGUAUUCCGAAAGGCAUGUCUGUUUGAGCGUGAGUGAAAAACAUCAAGCCAUUGGUUUGUAGUUGGGUUUGCUGCCGUCUUGCACGGCACAGGCUUUGAAGCGCAUUGGGCGCGGAAGUACCGUCAGCUAAAGUAGUAAUGCUAUUCUUUGCGAAGCGGCCUCUCGUCCCUCUUAAUACAUCAAGUGUUUUCACCUCAGAUCAGACAAGGAUACCCGCUGAACUUAA